rnacentral:rRNA from 1 species
UCGAUUCCCUUAGUAGCGGCGAGCGAAACGGGAAGAGCCCAAACCAACAAGCUUGCUUGUUGGGGUUGUAGGACACUCUAUACGGAGUUACAAAGGACGACAUUAGACGAAUCAUCUGGAAAGAUGAAUCAAAGAAGGUAAUAAUCCUGUAGUCGAAAAUGUUGUCUCUCUUGAGUGGAUCCUGAGUACGACGGAGCACGUGAAAUUCCGUCGGAAUCUGGGAGGACCAUCUCCUAAGGCUAAAUACUCUCUAGUGACCGAUAGUGAACCAGUACCGUGAGGGAAAGGUGAAAAGCACCCCGGAAGGGGAGUGAAAUAGAACCUGAAACCGUGUGCUUACAAGUAGUCAGAGCCCGUUAAUGGGUGAUGGCGUGCCUUUUGUAGAAUGAACCGGCGAGUUACGAUUUGAUGCAAGGUUAAGCAGUAAAUGUGGAGCCGUAGCGAAAGCGAGUCUGAAUAGGGCGUUUAGUAUUUGGUCGUAGACCCGAAACCAGGUGAUCUACCCUUGGUCAGGUUGAAGUUCAGGUAACACUGAAUGGAGGACCGAACCGACUUACGUUGAAAAGUGAGCGGAUGAACUGAGGGUAGCGGAGAAAUUCCAAUCGAACCUGGAGAUAGCUGGUUCUCUCCGAAAUAGCUUUAGGGCUAGCCUCAAGUGAUGAUUAUUGGAGGUAGAGCACUGUUUGGACGAGGGGCCCCUCUCGGGUUACCGAAUUCAGACAAACUCCGAAUGCCAAUUAAUUUAACUUGGGAGUCAGAACAUGGGUGAUAAGGUCCGUGUUCGAAAGGGAAACAGCCCAGACCACCAGCUAAGGUCCCAAAAUAUAUGUUAAGUGGAAAAGGAUGUGGCGUUGCCCAGACAACUAGGAUGUUGGCUUAGAAGCAGCCAUCAUUUAAAGAGUGCGUAAUAGCUCACUAGUCGAGUGACACUGCGCCGAAAAUGUACCGGGGCUAAACAUAUUACCGAAGCUGUGGAUUGUCCUUUGGACAAUGGUAGGAGAGCGUUCUAAGGGCGUUGAAGCAUGAUCGUAAGGACAUGUGGAGCGCUUAGAAGUGAGAAUGCC